rnacentral:RNase_P_RNA from 13 species
GGAGAAGGAAAAAAAAAGGGGAAAUAUUUUGUGUAAUUUUUCAAAAAAGGCCAACAGGGACAAAUGAUCAUUUGUUUUAUUAUUUUAUUUUUGAUUUGUUUUCUUUUCUUUCCUUCCCUUGGUCCCCUUGUCUGUGGGUUUUUUAUAAUUACUGGAAACAGAAU